AUUUGAAAUUUAAGACAGAGAUUUACACGAUUUAUUUGCAAAGGGAAUGAAUUAAAAUGCUUUGAAUGACAAAUGGUGGUUAUAGUUGAAGGGAGACGCUAUGGGGAUUUUCUACCUUCAUUUUUUUUUUUUUUUUUUUACAUUUCUCUAUUAUUUGGAAUUUUGUAACAUGUAAGUAUUAUUUUUUAAAAUUGGAAGAAUAAUAGAUUUAGGUGCAAGCAAAUUACAACAUUCAAAUUCUAGGACUGACUUAUUUUUCCACUAACUUUUAACCAACUCUUUCUUCCUUUAAUGAAGAUUCUCUAGGGAGGUUGUAAUGAACCAACUGCCAUAUUGGAUCAUCCUUUUAAGAAGUCUGAAACAUCUAGCCAACUUGCCUCAAAAUCUUUUCCAAUUACUUUCCUCACCUGUGAAGGACCCUCCUUAUUCUAUUGUUUUGACAGCUUGACUCUCAGCCCCACCACUUGCCUACGGGCCUCUACGUCACCUUGAUACCAUUCUCCUACGACAUGGUUAGAGGACAGCGUCAUACCCACGUGUUGAGGAAAACCAGGGCAAGUGUCUGCUGGGAGUUAGGGAGCAGGAGAGGUGGAUCCUGCUGUGAUGGAGGAGCAGGAUCUUGGAGUAGUGAGAUGUUGAUCUCUGUAUAAUCUUCACAUCACUGCAAAUUCCUCUGACAGAGCCUUAGCUGUCUAACUUUGUCUUCUUGUUUCUUCCCAUCAGGUCUUCAAGAACCUCAGCUCUUUAACAAUGAGACUCCAUGUUUUCCUCACUGCUCUUUUUGCCAUCUUCCAGGUACUACCCGGCAUCACUAAGGCACUCCAUUUUGAAAGACCCUGCUACCUUAGAGGUGGGAUCUGUCUGAAGCGAGGAACACCGAAUUGUGAGCCUUUCAGAGGACCCUGCAGAGCUUUCACCGUUUGCUGUAAAAUAAGGAGAAGCUGAUGGAGAAGCCUGGCAAGGAACAUAGGCGCAGGAUCUGAAGCGUGGCUCCUUUAGUCCAAAUGAGAGCAAACAUUACUCAAGUCCACAUAACUGAUUAUUGUCAUUAGGACUGAUUAAAGAAAGAGAUGUUUCCCAUGAAGGGGUAAGCAUUAGGUAGGAGAAAAUUAUAAUUAAACUUGUAUUAUGUUUUAACGUU